UAAUACGUAGGGGCCAAGCGUUGUCCGGAUUUAUUGGGCGUAAAGAGCUCGUAGGUGGUUCGGAAAGUCAGUUGUGAAAUCUCCGCGCUCAACGCGGAGGGGUCAGCUGAAACUGCCGUGACUUGAGUCUGGUAGGGGAGUGUGGAAUUCCCGGUGUAGCGGUGAAAUGCGCAGAUAUCGGGAGGAACACCAGUGGCGAAGGCGGCACUCUGGGCCAGUACUGACACUGAGGAGCGAAAGCGUGGGGAGCGAACAGGAUUAGAUACCCUGGUAGUCCACGCCGUAAACGUUGGGCACUAGGUGUGGGGACCUAUCGACGGUUUCCGUGCCGUAGCUAACGCAUUAAGUGCCCCGCCUGGGGAGUACGGCCGCAAGGCUA
rnacentral:rRNA from 1 species